UGAUAUCGAUUGAAUUGGAUUUUAACCCCUCUUCUUUGCACUGCACUGAAGACAAAUGCUUUCAGUGGAACAAAGGCUGCAUACUGUGUGUGGCUAGCUUUUGAGAGCCAAGUCUCUGGGGUGCAGCCAAUGUAUCUUUCCAAAAAAAGAUAUUUCUCGGGGGAAUGCUUUGCCGUUCCAAGUUUCUGAUGUAGGCCUUGCUCCUUAUUAUUGUCCUUAUUGUAAUGAUGUCGUUAAAUAGGUGUUUUAAUAUGUGAACUUAUUUCCUAGUGUAUCUAAUUAGGAUAUACAGUAAUAAUUAGGAAAUACACUAGGCCAGACAAUAAAAACUACAUAUGGUGAUUUUUCUAGUUCUUAUUUUGAGAUUUGCAAGUCAAAUUCAAUGUAAUGCAGCUUUUUCCCUGAGAAAACAUACAAAUUCGGUAUGUUUCACAUGCUAAUCAAGGUGAGACAAUAAGCUGAUGUUUAUUAGCUUUAGCCAUGACAAAGAACAAACACAUUAGUUUACACUAAUCUUUAGCAGUACCUCAUUACCUCAUUUCAUCUCCGAUAGGUCAUCCACAAGGAGCUUUUUAUUACCAGUUCCUUUGGGCAGCCAGGGAAUGGUCUCCCAGUACCUCACUUAUUUUGUUGGCAAUAAUGUCUUAUUUUACUGAUUAGUAAGCUAAAAACUUUUUAUAACAAGCUUGUACGGUUAACUUGGAAGGACUUGGAAUUGUUGCAUUGUAUCUUAAUCUAACCAUAGGUCCUGUCUACAUCUGGUAUUGAGAUUGUUGUGGUCGAUCGGAUCACAAGUAGAUGAGUGAGACGCAUUCCCGUUUACACCUGGUGUUUUAAUCCUGUCAACUUUCAACCACUUCUGUCCUCAUUUUUUUCAAGUGUAGGGUCUAUAGGUGGAUAAAUGUAUGGGUUUUUUCAGAUCUUUCGAUGGACGAAAUAAGCUUGCGCAAUUUAUAUAUGAACGCGACCGGAGACUACGGAAAAACAUACAGAGAGAAGCAGCUUUCAUUUCUGCUCUGACAGACGCAAGACCCAUGUCGAACACUGUGAGUGAGUGUCAGAAAUCAGGAACGGAGAGAGAACAUUGUGUUUGGUACAUUUUUCAUCUUUAAGCCAAACUUAGAUAUUCAGCCAACAAAGUUUAAAUCCCAUCUGGCUAGCGCACUUCUCACAAUGUUUACGCAUUAUUUCAGUAGGCGGAGAUAGAUUGUCUUUUGUAGCUGUUCGAAUGCAUGCGACCACAUGAGUGUUUACAUUACGAAAGCAAUCCAGUUCGACUGCCUCUGGAAGUGGUGGAAAGUGGACAAGCUCAAAACAUUUUAGACCCUGUUUACACCUGUAUUUAGCGUCGUCCACUUGUGAACAGAUCGACCAAAACACAUCUUAAUACUGUGAUUAUUACGCUGUUAUUAAUACUUUGAUAAUUACGCUGUGAUUGAAUUCUUGAUUCUGAAGUUUCAAAAAUUCCAAGUUUCAUUUUCUGAAUUGUAGCAAAAUCAAUAUUUAUAUCCAUAUCUGACAAUUUGAAUUUCUAAUGAUCAAUAGAAAGUGGAUGAAUUACUUUCUACAGAUAAAUAAAGAAUAAUGUGUGUAUGUUGUACUGUAUGCUUGCUUUUGACAGACAGAUACCACCUUUACUAGACGGAGAAAUGGGGAAGAACUGAAUGAGUCAGAUGAGUCAGACUCUGCCUUGUCAGAAGAUAUAGAAGAUGAAUACCUCUGGAGAGUCUGCUAGCCUACCUGCUGUUUGCUGUUUGGUCAGGAAUAUUAUAGUGCAGCCCAGGAGAGCGCAAUAAAGAUCUACAAGUUGAUGUUUGAAUGCAUUGUUGGAUUGCACAUCUUGAUUAGCGCCACACAUGUAUAUUGUCGUUGUGUAAGGAAUGAUGGAGUUGACAUGAAUGUAUCCUUUGAUCUGGAAUUUUAAUGACUGCCUCUAGUUUUUGUUGAAUGGUUUUCCGAGGUAUGCCAACAAUGAGGUACUUUUGGUUUCCCUGUCCAACUGGUCAGCAAUGUUCGUCCUAUUUAUCUGUGGUGCCUGUUGCUUGUCUCCAUUCACUACAGCUGUGUUAAUGAUGUACUGAGGAACUCUCCAGGUGAUUGGACAUUUCUUAGCCCUCGAAACUGUGCCUUGGCCUCCUCCUUUGAAAAUUCAACUCAUUUUAUAGAUACACAAGCUUUGACAGUCUGUGCUGCAUGCAGCCAGUCAGAGGACAGAGGAAGGUGUUUUAAUGGCUCUUUAUCAUCAUAUCCACCCUGAUGAGAAAUGGUGAAAGUUCAUAUGUGUAAUGUCACAUUUAUACCCAUCUGACUGUGUGUGCCGGCGGAACAAGAUAAAGACAAACACAUCACACGCAGCCCUCUGCCCUCUGGUGCAUCAUGGGAGAGGAGAGGGGCUUCAGGGCGUAACUCCUUUGCUUUAGGCUGUCCUUGUUAGGAAGCUGUCAAUCAAAAUGAAGACCUGGCGAACUUGCCUCACCAUGUUGUAACCUUCGGGAAGAGAGAGAUUGAGGAACGUAUAUAAUAUAUAUUUCCUGAAGAAGCCGAUUUAAGCACAGUCCUACUUAAUAAGCUCGGGCUUCAAGAAGGGAAAACGUGGCUGAUGACCCUUUAAAGGGCGAAUGACAGAGUUCAUGCCGACAUGUAAAAAGCACAGGUCACCUUUUUCUCAGAGGCAUACAGGCAAAAAUUAGUCGAGGUAAAUGAGUAGAAGCUGUCAUGGAUGCACACUGCCAUCCAGUGGUGGAGGUAGGAACUUCACUCUAUGAUUUAGGCCUUUUUAUAUCUGCUAUAAAGAUUUCAUGUGAAAGGUCUAACAUUUUUUUGUUUUGUUUUAUUGUAGUUUAUAAAAGGCAAAAAGUACUGAAGCCAUUUUGUGCAUGUAUAUGUAUGAAUUUUUGUAAUUUUAAAAGAUGCAUGCUUGUUUUAGUUCAGUGGUUGAUUGACCAGUGAGUAGGCCGGCAUUUGUUGUUGUAUGGGACAUAUCAGGACAAAUUAAAGUCUACAUUAAUCCGAUGUAGUCACCUGCUUUUUUGAAUGCAUCAUAGGCCUAAUAUUUCAUAAAAUUAGAGCCUAUGUGUUUCACCAGUGACUGAUUAUUUUGAGGGCAGAGGCAGGAAAUGUUUUCAGCCUUUGUCGUCACAUCUCACGAUAUCUGCGGGAUAGUUGAUGUAUUUGUUUGUUUUUAAAGUUUUUUUUUUUUCUAGAAAGAUAACUGUGAAAUAGUGUCAUCUGCUAAUUGGCGUUGUCAUGUGCAAUCGCGGAUUGCCCAAAUUAAAUGGACGUUAAAAAUAGGUGUUGAACGGCUGCAUUAUUGGCUUUAUUUACAUGC